rnacentral:rRNA from 1 species
UACGUAGGAUGCAAGCGUUGUCCGGAUUUAUUGGGCGUAAAGCGUGCGUAGGCGGUAGCACAAGUCAGUUGUGAAAUCUCCGGGCUUAACUCGGAAAGGUCAACUGAUACUGUGCGACUAGAGUGCAGAAGGGGCAACUGGAAUUCUCGGUGUAGCGGUGAAAUGCGUAGAUAUCGAGAGGAACACCUGCGGCGAAGGCGGGUUGCUGGGCUGACACUGACGCUGAGGCGCGAAAGCCAGGGGAGCGAACGGG